CGAUAGGUAAGUCCCCUAACCAUUGCAAAACGUACACUGGGGCACCAGAUCACUGGGAUAUAAGUCAUCCGUUUACAUUCUGCACAGUAUGCAACCACAGCAGAUUUGCUUAUUUCCCUCACAGACAACCCGAAUAUCAAGGCGUUAAGUUUGUUCUGGAUGCAGUUACAAUCACAGCUUUCAAGCCAGCAGCUGUCGAUGUAUUGAGAGUCUCUCCUCUCCAUGUUAUCUGACCUGCUGCCUGUGAACAUCCUGCACAUAGAACCUUUAUCCCAUUCGAUGUAAUUAAACCGGCCAAUCAAAAAGACAGCCUGAAAUACUCCUCAUCUUGAAAUAUUGGGAAGGCAGGAAAACGCCUGUCACUGUUAAGAUAAAAAUGAGGGAAUGACAAAGCACAGUAUGACCAGUUAAGUCCUGUGAUAAGCCAAGUCCUGUGGCCAGACAUGUCAUGUGGCCAGCCAAGUCCUGUGAUCAGCCAAGUCAUGUGAUAAGCCAAGUCUUGUGGCCAGUCAAGUCAUGUGAUCAGACAAGGCAUGUGAUAAGCCAAGUCAUGUGAUCAGCCAAGUCAUGUGGCCAGCCAAGUCAUGUGAUCAGCCAAGUCCUGUGGCCAGACACGUCUUGUGGCCAGCCCAGUCCUGUGAUCAGACAAGUCCUGUGGCCAGACACGUCUUGUGGCCAGCCCAGUCCUGUAGCCAGACAAGUCAAGUGACCAGUCAAGUCAUGUGAUCAGACAAGUCCUGUGGCCAGACACGUCUUGUGGCCAGCCAAGUCCUGUGAUCAGACAAGUCCUGUGAUAAGCCAAGUAUUGUGAUCAGUCAAGUCCUGUGGCCAGACAUAUCUUGUGGCCAGCCCAGUCCUGUGAUCAGACAAGUCAUGUGAUAAGCCAAGUCUUAAGAUCAGCUUAGUUCUGUGGCCAGCCAAGUCGUGUGACCAGCCAAGUGUUUUUACCAGCCAUGUCCUAUAACCAGCAACUUUGUCUCGUGUGUACAGUCCAAUUGUAUGGGAAGAAAAAUCUUUAUUUCAUAUUGUAUGGUUAUAAUGAUACUGACAGUAUCUUGAUGAUUAAGUAUUUUGUUAUAUAUUGGUAAAAAGACCAAUAUGAUAAGGGGAAACUCAGUAAUAGCAGUAAUGUUAAGUUUUAUUUCAAGAGCAUAAUAAUGCAAGUACUACUAUUUUGUCUGUAUUCAGAAACUGACUCUAUAUAGCUUUAUCCUGAUUAUCGUAAACAGACAGACAAAAUGUUUGUACAAUUGUUGUUUUUUAAACAUUGAUUUUAAGCCUUCACAAAGUUGUUUAAAUAAUGCCGAUACCUUGGACAAUAUUGUAUGUAUUUAUUGUAUAAACAAGACAUGCUUAUUUUUAGUUUUUACCUAUAAAAUAGCAAUAUGUGCUAGGUAAAAUAAUUGAUCAGAACUAUAUCAUAAUUGUGAUGCUUCUAUUUUGAUAUGUCUGUCAUUCUGUCUGUGUUCAUUUAUCAUCUGUUUGCUCUUUUGAUGCAGUAAUUUAUCAAGAAUUUCAUGUAGUGAUGUAAUAGUACAAUAUCAUAUAAUUAUUUGAUUUAUUCAAACUAAAUUAACCUUCUGUUAAUUAUCAAUUUAUUUAUUGACAACAGAUACUUUGUUUAAUAUUAACAAUAGUUAAGCGCGUGAUACAAAUUGUGUGAAUGUACAUGCAUAAUAUUGCGAUAAUUGAUGCACACAUUAAUGAAACUAUUUAAAUAAAGUGGAAUUUAGAAGUGCAUCUUAAUUGUAAUGGAGUUUGUUUAAUUAUUAAAAAAGUAUGCUUUCAUUGUUGAAAAUAUGAUAGUAAUUCCUCCACAAGUAAUUUUGUUUCAAAGUAUUUUCAUGAAUAAUGAUCAUAGAUAUGGUUGCAGAUUGUUCUUGUUGUAUCAUAUACUGAAAUGCUCAUCAUUUGUGUUGACAUUGGCAUUCUAGCAUUAAAAGUUCAUUAUGCUUUAAAUAUUUGUAUGUACACAUUUGUGACCAGCUUUUCUAAUGUAAUAAGUGAAUAACGUAACACAGAUUUAUGUGUCACUGUAUAUACGUUUAUUUUGUCAUUUGUAAAUAGAUCCAGUGCAAAGAUAAUGUUUUUGUUUGUACAUUAUUCAUAAAAUGUUGCCAUUUCAAACAGAUACAUUCACUGUUUGAAAUCAUUUGUACAAAAUUGUUUCAUAUUAAACAUCAUUUACAUAUCAGGCAAUAGAGAAAAAGAAUUGCUUUGGAUGAAUGAGCACAUUAACCUGUAUAGUAAAUUAAGAUAUGCAGAAUAUCAGAUGAUUAACAUAAUAAUAUACUUUAAGCAUAAGAAACACCUUGUUUUAUGUUAAGCUUUUCAGUUAAUAUAAUUAAGCAACUACUAUCUGGAAAUUUGGAAAACAGUGAAGAACGAUUCAAGGGAGAGCAACUGUGAUAAACUUAAUAAAAGUCGUCUCCCUUGUUAGCGUAAAAUUGUACCUCUCAACAUAACAAGAACAUUGAUUUUUUUUAAUUAUUCCACACUAUAAACUAUAUACUAUAUUCAUUGAGUAUAAUUGUACCUCUAAACGUAACAAGAACAUUGAAUCUUUUUUUAUUAUUCCACACUAUAAACUAUAUAUUAUAUUCAUUCAAUAAUCACUAAAGAAAUAUGGUUUGCAUAAUUGUUUAUUUCUAUGCGUUAUACCAAAUUCACCAGUAUGGCAUCAAUUUAAGUUCAUCAUAUUUUAAUUGCCAAAAUUGGCCAUACAGUGCUAAAAGUUUGGUAUUCUGACUAUUAUAAGUGCAUGUUCUCAUACAAAAUCAUAUUGUAUAUUUUAACACUGAAGCAAUAUGUGUUAUAUAUUUAUUUUUAUUUAUUGACUUGUUGUUGCUUGUUAAGGUGUCUAAUUUUGAAUUAUAGCUGUUAAUUGAUUGUGACUAUUUUCCAGUUUUGAAUUAUUGCUUUUAGUUGAUUGUUUACAAGUUUGUAAAAGCUGUUUUCAUGUUGACUGCUCCACAUUAGAUGUCAUUGACGCGCAUUCACUGCGGCCAGGUUCCGUAAAACUCCCAACUCAUCUGAUGUCUUAGUAUUAGAUUCCAUACAUACGUGGUUGUUUAUAUCAGCUUGCUUUGCAUUAAACAUUUCUGCUUUGUUGUUGAACAAUUAUACACAGCUUUUUAUUGGACAAAAUUGUGUAAUAUUUUAAAUUUUUGCUUUCAAUUUUUCCAACAAAAAUAUAUUUUGUUUGUAUGUAUAUUUAGCUAUUAUAAAAUUGUUUCUAUAAUAUAUAAACAACCUAUUUAUAAGCAAUAAAAUAUAUUGGUAAAAGUAGAUUUAAGGUUCAAAAUCAUGUCUUAAUUUGUUCGAUUAUCCCAAAUUAACAUUUUGCAAUAGCAAAACUUUUUGAAUAAAGAAAACUUUAUGCAACGUACCACCAGGUCUUUUAACCAUUGAUUGUGUAUUACUAACGAUCAGGACUUAAUCAGGGAUUAAUAAUUGCCUUUGCACGGUUAUAAUGUUUGUGUUAUUAAAUUGAAUAAUUUCUGUAGUUUGGUGCACAUUAAUUGUUGUUUUUUUAAAGACAUAGCACAUGUCAUAGCACAUGUCAUAUAAUAUAAUAUCAUUGUAGUUUUGGUAUGUUUAGGGAUAUAAUCAUGUUAAUGUAUGUGAUUUGCUGAUCCAUUUCUUGUUGUUUCACUCCAUUUAAUGUAUAUAGCCAUGCAUAGAGCAGGAAUAUUGUUGUACUGUGAAAAAAAUGUUGUUAUAGCAAAUAAAUAAUGUAUGUUAA